UUACCAGACUCCUACGGGAGGCAGCAGUCGAGAAUCAUUCACAAUGGGGGAAACCCUGAUGGUGCGACGCCGCGUGGGGGAAUGAAGGUCUUCGGAUUGUAAACCCCUGUCAUGUGGGAGCAAAUUAAAAAGAUAGUACCACAAGAGGAAGAGACGGCUAACUCCGUGCCAGCAGCCGCGGUAAUACGGAGGAUGCGAGCGUUAUCCGGAUUUAUUGGGUUUAAAGGGUGCGCAGGCGGGAGAUCAAGUCAGCGGUAAAAUGUCGGGGCUCAACCCCGGCCGGCCGUUGAAACUGGUUUUCUAGAGUUGGAGAGAAGUAUGCGGAAUUCGUGGUGUAGCGGUGAAAUGCAUAGAUAUCACGAAGAACUCCGAUUGCGAAGGCAGCAUACCGGCUCCAUACUGACGCUGAGGCACGAAAGCGUGGGGAUCGAACAGGAUUAGAUACCCGAGUAC
rnacentral:rRNA from 1 species